rnacentral:rRNA from 1 species
ACUACAUGAAGCUGGAAUCGCUAGUAAUCGCGAAUCAGAAUGUCGCGGUGAAUACGUUCCCGGGUCUUGUACACACCGCCCGUCACACCAUGGGAGUUGGUAACGCCCGAAGUCAGUGACUCAACCGAAAGGGGAGAGCUGCCGAAGGCGGGACUGAUAACUGGGGUGAAGUCGUAACAAGGUAAC